rnacentral:rRNA from 1 species
CAAUAGCGUAUAUUAAAGUUGUUGCAGUUAAAAAGCUCGUAGUUGGAUUUCUGGUUGAAGCGACCGGUCGGGCGUUGAUUCGUCUGCACUGGAGUCGGUUUUGGCCAUCCUCUAGGAAAGUGCGUCUGGUAUUAAGUUAUCGGGCGUAUGAUCCUGGUCUUUUACUGUGAAAAAAUUAGAGUGUUUAAAGCAGGCCUUCGCCUUGAAUACAUUAGCAUGGAAUAAUAAGAUAGGACUUUGGUCUAUUUUGUUGGUUUGCAGACCGAAGUAAUGAUUAAUAGGGAUAGUUGGGGGUAUUUAUAUUCCGAUGUCAGAGGUGAAAUUCUUAGAUUUUCGGAAGAUAAACUUAUGCGAAAGCAUUUACCAAGGAUGUNUUCAUUAA